GCCAGCAUGGCAUAGUGGUUUGAGUGUUGGAUUGCAACUCUGGAGAUUGGGGUUCAAUUCCCAGCACAGCCA
rnacentral:tRNA from 1 species